UACGUAGGGGGCAAGCGUUGUCCGGAAUCAUUGGGCGUAAAGAGCGUGUAGGCGGCCACUUAAGUCUUGCGUGAAAUCUUGCGGCUCAACCGCAAGCGGUCGUGGGAAACUGGGUGGCUAGAGUGCGGGAGAGGAGAGUGGAAUUCCUGGUGUAGCGGUGGAAUGCGCAGAUAUCAGGAAGAACACCCGUGGCGAAGGCGGCUCUCUGGGACGGUACUGACGCUGAGACGCGAAAGCGUGGGGAGCAAACAGG
rnacentral:rRNA from 1 species